GGUCACUUGGGAUAUCCCAUCCGUUGGCGGUCUCGCGGCCGCUGUGGAGACCAUCUUGCCCCAGCCCAGUUAUCAUUAGUUCCAUUCGUCGGCUCCUUCUUGAGGCUGUUCGAGGCUCCUGCCACUUCCAGCAUCCCUUCCCGCAGGUGCUAUCCUAACGAGUAACGGCUACAAGCUACAGAAGCGGGAGGUCGCAGUGGCUGUACGUGGGACUGUCGUGUUGAACGCACUCUAUUGCGGCCCACUGGGCGGGACGAGAGCAGUGCAGUGAGCGCGCACGGAGAGCGCAUCCCUGACAAUGGCCACGUGACGCCUUGCGGCGGUUGGCAUGUCGUCAUGCGGGGCGGCGAGGAGCGUGCCGCUGUAGCUAAGCGCGGUGGAGAAACGACGGUGAUCCCCAGGCCCCGAGGAAGCCCGGAUUUUACGGGAAAAUAAUCAGCGCUGGCAGCACUUCAGCGACGAGAUCGACGACGGGUUUCGGGGUCUUAUGGGGAGCGCAAAAUCCCCACCAUCGUUGAUCCAGUUCUGCCCGUCCCUCACUUGCUGGCCUUGCCGUACUGGAUCGAGGUGCCGAUCCCCAUCACCAUUGACAAUGGCGAAAUGCGCGACUUCAUGGCCGUCAUGAUCACGAACCGCAUUCAGAGGGAGUUUGAACGCUACCGUGCCGAGAUGGAUCCCCACGGCGCUCGCUUCCUCAACCCCAUCGACCGUGUGGCGGUGGUGUUCGUUCCCGGGCCACUGGCUGGAGACGCCGUAGGAGACGGUGCAGCUGCACUGGAAUUCGCGGUGUAUUUCAGCGCUGAUGAAGCCGAGAGACUACGCGGGGACGCACAGCGUCGGGGGCAAAUUUUGGCCGAUAUCGGCGUCGUGGAGGCGGCGGGGGGAGGCUCCGAUGGGGAUCAACCAUGGGCGCUUCCAUGUCGCGGGCGUGCCCUACUGGCUCCACGUCCGCCGGGCGGUUGAUGAGGACAGUCGGGAGAAAGUUCGCGAGGAUACGGUAGGGAGGAUUCGAGGGUCCCUGCAGGAGCGCAUGCAGGCGCCUUGGCGGGUUGGCCGUACGACGGUGCAGCGGACGGCCGUGCCGGGCGGCGGCGGCGCAGCGGCGGCGGGAGGAGGUGGUCCGGCUGCGGCGGCAGCGGCUGGCCACGUUGCCGACGGAGAGGGCGGCGAUGGGCCGGGGAAUCCGCAGGCGCCGAAUGUCCACCCGUGACAGGCCACCAUCGUGGAGCGGGCAGAACGGGAGCGGUUAUGUUCAUGUGGCUUUUGUAAUUUUGGGAUUUUGCAUCCCACGCCGUUGAUCGUGAAAAUUUGGUUAUAAAGCAGUUCGAGUCGUC